rnacentral:rRNA from 1 species
AUUGAACGCUGGCGGCAUGCUUUACACAUGCAAGUCGAACGGCAGCGCGGGCUUCGGCCUGGCGGCGAGUGGCGAACGGGUGAGUAAUACAUCGGAACGUGCCCAGUAGUGGGGGAUAGCUCGGCGAAAGCCGGAUUAAUACCGCAUACGACCUGAGGGUGAAAGCGGGGGAUCUUCGGACCUCGCGCUAUUGGAGCGGCCGAUGGCAGAUUAGCUAGUUGGUGGGGUAAAGGCCUACCAAGGCGGCGAUCUGUAGCUGGUCUGAGAGGACGACCAGCCACACUGGGACUGAGACACGGCCCAGACUCCUACGGGAGGCAGCAGUGGGGAAUUUUGGACAAUGGGCGAAAGCCUGAUCCAGCAAUGCCGCGUGUGUGAUGAAGGCCUUCGGGUUGUAAAGCACUUUUGGCGGGAACGAAAAGGACUGUGCCAAUACCACGGUUCGAUGACGGUACCCGCAGAAUAAGCACCGGCUAACUACGUG